rnacentral:rRNA from 1 species
UACGAAGGGUGCAAGCGUUACUCGGAAUUACUGGGCGUAAAGCGUGCGUAGGUGGUUGUUUAAGUCUGUCGUGAAAGCCCUGGGCUCAACCUGGGAAUUGCGAUGGAUACUGGGCGACUAGAGUGUGGUAGAGGGUGGCGGAAUUCCCGGUGUAGCAGUGAAAUGCGUAGAGAUCGGGAGGAACAUCCGUGGCGAAGGCGGCCACCUGGGCCGAGCCUGACGCUGAGACGCGAAGGCGUGGGGAGCGAACAGGAUUGAGAUACC